UAUACGACCGUACCGCAAACCGACACUGGUGCGCGAGAUGAGUAUUCUAAGGCGCUUGAGAGAACUCAGGAGAAGGAACUCGGCAAAUUGACACCGUAACUUCGGAAGAAGGUGUGCCCUAUUAGUGUGUAGUGAACAACGAAGCAUGAAUGGGUUGCAAAAAAUCGGUGGCUGCGACUGUUUAUUAAAAACACAGCACUCUGCAAACACGAAAGUGGACGUAUAGGGUGUGACGCCUGCCCGGUGCUGGAAGAUUAAAUGAUGGGGUGCAAGCUCUUGAUUGAAGUCCCAGUAAACGGCGGCCGUAACAAUAACGGUCCUAAGGUAGCGAAAUUCCUUGUCGGGUAAGUUCCGACCUGCACGAAUGGCGUAACGAUGGCCACACUGUCUCCUCCUGAGACUCAGCGAAGUUGAAAUGUUUGUGAUGAUGCAAUCUCCCCGCGGAAAGACGGAAAGACCCCAUGAACCUUUACUGUAGCUUUGUAUUGGACUUUGAACAGAUCUGUGUAGGAUAGGUGGGAGGCUUUGAAGCAGGGUCGCUAGAUCUUGUGGAGCCAACGUUGAAAUACCACCCUGGUGUGUUUGAGGUUCUAACCUAGGUCCAUUAUCUGGAUCGGGGACAGUGCAUGGUAGGCAGUUUGACUGGGGCGGUCUCCUCCCAAAGCGUAACGGAGGAGUUCGAAGGUACGCUAGUUACGGUCGGACAUCGUGACGAUAGUGCAAUGGCAUAAGCGUGCUUAACUGCGAGACUGACAAGUCGAGCAGAUGCGAAAGCAGGACAUAGUGAUCCGGUGGUUCUGUAUGGAAGGGCCAUCGCUCAACGGAUAAAAGGUACUCUGGGGAUAACGGGCUGAUACCGCCCAAGAGUUCAUAUCGACGGCGGUGUUUGGCACCUCGAUGUCGGCUCAUCUCAUCCUGGGGCUGUAGCCGGUCCCAAGGGUAUGGCUGUUCGCCAUUUAAAGAGGUACGUGAGCUGGGUUUAAAACGUCGUGAGACAGUUUGGUCCCUAUCUUCCGUGGGCGCUGCAGAUUUGAGGAAGCCUGCUCCUAGUACGAGAGGACCGGAGUGGACAUACCUCUGGUGUAUCGGUUGUCACGCCAGUGGCAUUGCCGAGUAGCUAAGUAUGGAAGAGAUAAACGCUGAAAGCAUCUAAGCGUGAAACUCGUUUCUAGAUGAGAUCUGCCGGGGCCUUGAGCCCCCUAAAGAGUCGUUCAAGACCAGGACGUUGAUAGGUCAGGUGUGGAAGCGCAGUAAUGCGUUAAGCUAACUGAUACUAAUUGCUCGUGCGGCUUGACCCU
rnacentral:rRNA from 1 species